AGUGAACGCUGGCGGUAGGCCUAACACAUGCAAGUCGAACGGCAGCACAGUAAGAGCUUGCUCUUACGGGUGGCGAGUGGCGGACGGGUGAGGAAUACAUCGGAAUCUACUUUUUCGUGGGGGAUAACGUAGGGAAACUUACGCUAAUACCGCAUACGACCUACGGGUGAAAGCAGGGGAUCUUCGGACCUUGCGCGAUUGAAUGAGCCGAUGUCGGAUUAGCUAGUUGGCGGGGUAAAGGCCCACCAAGGCGACGAUCUGUAGCUGGUCUGAGAGGAUGAUCCGCCACACCUGAAAUGAGACAAGGUCCAGACUCCUAAGGGAGGCAGGAGUGGGGAAUAUUGGACAAGUGGCGCAAGCCUGAUCCAGCCAUACCGCGUGGGUGAAGAAGGCCUUCGGGUUGUAAAGCCCUUUUGUUGGGAAAGAAAAGCAGCAGGUUAAUACCCCGCUGUUCUGACGGUACCCAAAGAAUAAGCACCGGCUAACUUCGUG
rnacentral:rRNA from 1 species